rnacentral:misc_RNA from 1 species
UUUCCGUAGGUGAACCUGCGGAAGGAUCAUUAUUGUAUAACCGAGGUGCGAGGGCUGUCGCUGACCCGAAAGGUCGUGCACGCCCGAGUGCCCUCACACACAUCCAUCUCACCCAUACGUGCACCACCGCGUGGGUCCCCCUUUGGCUUGUUCGGAGGGGGGCUUACGUUUUCACACAAACUUUGUAUGCAGUGUAGAAUGUAUUUUUUGUUUUUGCGAUCACGCAAUCAAUACAACUUUCAACAACGGAUCUCUUGGCUCUC